GGCCCAGGGUAGUACGUGGUGCAGAGGCCAAGUGUGCCUUGUGCAUCUCAUAAAUUGAAUUUAUUGAUUGCUUUUUCUUCUUUCUCACUUACACUCUCACUUAGUCCCGAUUCCUCCUUGGAGCUCCAUUCUCUUCCCCUCCCCAGUUUUCUUAUCCCUCCUUAGUGAAAACUCAUGUAUGUCCAGGACCCGUUGCUUUUUUUUUUUUUUUUUAAGCUAUUUUAGGGGCUGUGGAUUUUUAGAGUUGCACCUGUGGCAUACGGAGGUUCCCAGACAAGGGCUUGAAUUGGAGCUACAGCUGCUGGCCUACACCCCAGCAAUGCUAGAGCCGAGCCGCUUCUGUGACCUACACCACAGCUCUCGGCAAUGCCGGAUUCUUAACCCACUGAGCAAGGUCAGGCAUCGAACCCACAUGCUCAUGGAUACUCGUUGGGUUCAUGACCACUGAACCACAACGGAACUCCCCCAUUCCCAUUUUAGUUUCUCCCCUAAACCUUUCCCCUGUAAGCCUUCCUUUUUCUACAUCCAGCUUUACUAGGUUGUUUGAAAUCUUAGUAAGAUGCUGAGUAUGCGCAGUCAGAGACAAGCAUUCUGAGUGGUAUCUUUUUUUUUUAAAAAAAGACGAAACUAUUUUUGUUCUCUUGUGGUUGUUGUAUACAGUCCAGGGUUGCCAUAAUUCCUCUUAAAUAUAUUGAAACAGCCUGUAGCUGACACACUGCUACUACCACAGUCAACCCCUCCAAGAAAGCUGUAAUUCAAAAAUCAAUUGACAAGAGUACUGUGUAACAAAAAUAUUUGAGGAAAAGAGUUAAGAUCAUCUUAAUCAAUGGAAAUGACACGCAGCUUUCAGCUGCCAGGGUCACUGCUCCUCCUCUCUUCAGUGAGGGCUGCCUUCCUUGGUGGCUGGAAUCAGAGACAGACUUGGGAAAAGAGCAGAGUGGGUGCCUGACUGUUCUCUCCUCUUGGUGGUUCACCCAGCUGUGCAUAAAAGGCCUUCCUGCAGGCCCCAAUAUGUGAAUGAUGAGCAAAUGCAAGGAAUUUCUUUCCCCACAUUAAGAUUAAGUGUUAGCAGUUCCUUAAAUGAAGGAAGCAAUUUUUUAUAACUUGCAAAUCUUCUCCCUCAUUCUUCAGGGAAUUUCCUAUGUUAAUUUAUGCAGCGUUAAAUUUAUGCAGUUUUGAAAUUCAGCCCAACAGCAGCGACUUACAGACCCAAGACAGAGGUGGUGGGAGGACCCAGAGGUGGAGCUGACUGACGCUGACCCUGCCAGGCCUCAAGAUUCCUCCAGCCAAAGGUCCUUGGGCCUGGGUUUGGGCAGGUUUUAUUUCGUAGUUGUGAUAUAGUAAAAACACACUUAAUUUGUUUAAAAAAAAUUUCAGCUUGACAUUGUGUUUGUUAUUGUCUCUGAAAGAAAUGAGGUAGUUUUGUACCACCUCUGCCACCCAUUGGUGGCAACUGAGUGCAUUUUGACGGCAUGUGUGUAGACAGCCCUGGAAGACCCAAUCUUGCCCCCUGUGUCUUCAAGGAGCCUCCUGUGUCCUCAAGGAGUCACCGGUGAAUCAAGUGAACUGCUGUGCUCUCUUUGAGGAUGUGAUUUUUAAUGUGCAUAGCAAGGUAUUUUGUGAAUGUGGUUACUUUGUGUUUUAUAUUUGCUCAAAAUUGUUCCUUUUUAAUGUCUUCACCUUAGACUGACCCAUGGUUUUCGAACCAGCCAGAGCCCAGCUCAUCUUUCUUAAGUGAAUCUGACAUUCUUAGCAUUACUGACGUGGCUGAAAAAUUACUCUUCUGUGUUUGAUUGAGGUUGCAGGAAAAUAGUUUAAAAAGAUUCCCUAGACUCUUGUAAACACUUUAACUGAUGCUUUUAAUUAUGUUGUGGUCACAGCAGAUUAUUUUGCAACCUUUGAAGAGAGGUGCACUGUCACAUGGCAGUCACUAUAACCGUAAGACCUAACUAAAUUGCAGCGUUGAGGCACAGCCAUCUAGUUUUGACCCACAGGUAAUAGCUUAAAGUUCCCAUUGGUAUAUUGAAGAAAAUAGUGAGUCUGUAAUCUACGAAGUGGCAUCACUCAGAAAGUGAUCAUUUUCUUUAGUAACUAGAAGCCUUUACAUGGGCUCAUUGUAGAUCUGCUUUAUACUGACUUCGGUUUUGUAUUAAUAAAUAAUGUUGUGGCAGGGUUGUCUAUGUAUCUGGAGUUUAUAGAGCUUCCCAUCUGUAUAGUUGUAGAAACUUUCACAGAUCAAGUCACAAGGAUAUGAGGAUAAAUGAUACUGAGACAGUGCCUGGUCUAACUCUUACAUGGUAAGUGCUCAAUUUUUAAGAUUUCCAGCAAAUACAGAGCUCAUAUGAAUGGUGGGUUUGAGAGGAGCCUCACAUUCUGGUGUUAGUUCUAUAGGACACCUCUCCUGAGAGGAGUCUUCCAUUUAAUCUGCUCUGUCUUUCCAGUUUUUUCUAGAUGCAUCUAGCUUUUCUAAUUCAUUUCUCCCUUGACUGCAUCAUUUUUUUCUGACCAUUUCAUUGUGUAACCUCUACAAACUGCCUUGCUUUUAUAUCUAUUAUAUCUUUUAUCUCUGUUCUUCUUUGGUGCCCUGUGGACAUAGACUUCUUAGAAGCCUGUCAUCAUGGAUGCUUUAAUAGUAAUCUCUAGGAUAAGCUAUUCGUCCUGUGCUUCUGUGACCCAAUGUGCUGAUGUGCCCCUCCUCUUUUUUUUUUCUGACCCUUUAUUUCAAUCUCCUUUCUUCAUCUCUAACCCUAAAUUAAACCUUUAUCUAAAAAACCUUUGACCUCUUUCCCAAGCCUACAACUUCUCUGUAGACAUUUACUUCUUGGAUGUGUCAUCAUCAUCCCAGACUCUCAAACCCCAAAAAUAGCAACAACAACAACAACAACACAAGACAAAAAGACAAAAGACAAAAAAAAAACAAAAACAAAAACAAUAUGGUACUGGCAUUAAAACAUGGGUAGACCAAUGGAACAGAAUUGAGAGCCUAGAAAUAAACCUAAGCAUAUACAGUCAACUGAUAUUUGACAAGGCAGCCAAAAAUACUCAAUGGAGAAAAGAUAGUCUCUUCAAUAAAUUUAAUAAAUGGUACUGUAAAAAUUGGAUGUGUACAUAUCAAACAAUAAAACUAGACCUUUAUCAGAGUUCCCAGUGUGGUGCAAUGGUAUCAGUGGUGUCUCUGCAGCACUGUCACUCAGGUUCGAUCCCUGGCCCAGCACAGUGGUUUACAAAUCCAGUGUUACCUCAACUGUGGCAUAGGUAGGCCCAGGAACUCCAUAUGCCACAGGGCAGCCAAAAAAGAAAACAAAAAGCAUGAGUUCCUGUUGUGGUUCUGCGGUUAACAAACCCAACUAGCAUCCAUGAGGAUGCUGGUUUGAUCCCUGACCUCACUCACUGGGUUAAGGAUGGUUCAUUGCCAUGAGCUGUGGUGUAGAUCGCAGAUGCAGCUUGGAUCCCGAGUUGCUGUGGCUCUGGUGUGAGCCGGCAGCUACAGCUCUGAUUAGACCCCUAGCCUGGGAACCUCCAUAUGUAUGCCAUGGGUGCGUCCCUAAAAAGACAAGAAGCCAAAAACAAAAUAAAAACAAAAUAAACCAGGGGAGUGGGGACUAGACUUCUAUCAUAUACCGCUCACAAAAAGUAACUGAAAAUAGAUUAAAGACUUAAAUGUAAGACCCGAAAUCAUCAAACUCUUAGAAGAAAACAUAGGGGAAAAAGCUCCAUGAUGUGGGUCUUGGUAAUUAUUUUUUGGAAAUCAUACCUAAAACAUAAGCAACAAAAUAAAAAUGAAAAAGUGGGACUACAUCAUCUAAAAAGCUUGUGCAAAGCAAAAGAAAGCAACAGAAUGAAAAGACAACCUACAAAAUGGGAGAAAAAAUUUGCAAACCAUGUUUCUGUUAAGGGAUUAAUAUCCAAAAUGUAUAAAUAAUUCAUACACUUCAGUAGAAACAAAGCAAUGAAAAACUGUGCUAAGGAUUCUGAAUGACAUUUUUUCCAAGAUUCACAAAUGGCCAACAGGUGUAUGAAAAGAUGCUCAGCAUCACUGAUCAUUAGGUAAAUGUACGUUAAAGCCACAAUGAGAUAUCUCCUCAUGCCUGUUAGAAUGGCCGUCAUCAGAGAGACAAGAGAUAACAAAUGCGAGCACAGAUAUGGAGAAAAGGAAUCUCUUGUGUACUAUUGGUGGGGUUGUAAAUUGGUGUAGCCACUGUGGAAAACAGUGUGGAGGAUCCUAAAAUAAUUAAAAAUAUAACUACUCUAUGAUCCAGGAAUUCCACUCCUGGGGAUAUCCAAAUGAGCAAAAACACUAACUCAGAAAUAUGUCUGCACCCCCAUGUUCAUAGCAUUAUUUGCAGUAGUCAGAACAUGGGAACAACCCGUGUCUAUCAAUAGAUGAAUGGAUGAAGAAGUUGUGGUACAUGUAUACAGUGGAAUAUUAUUCAGCCAUAAAAAAACCCAAUGACAUCCUGCCAUUUACUACCAUGUGGGUAGACCUUGAAGGCUUUUGGCCAAGUGAAAUAAAUCUGACAGAGAAAGACAAGUCCUGUAUGAUCUCAUGUAUAUGUCAACUCUAAAAAUAAAUGAAAACUAAGCUUAUGGAAAAAGAUAAAAGUUGUGGUUACAAGAGGGGGCAGGAGGAAGAGGAAUAAAUAAGUACAAGGGAUGUAAUAAUGUGCAGUGUCUUUUUAUUCUGUCUGUGUGAGAUGAUGCAUGUUAACCUAUUGUGGCCAUCAUUUUCAGAAUAUGUGUAAAUCCAGCCAUCCUGCUGUAAACCUUAAACCUUGUGCAGUGAUAUAUAUAUGUCAAUUAAUUCUCAAUAAAAUGAAAAAAAAAAAUCUUCCUGUCUACUGCUCCUCAUCCCCACCCACAUAAAUAAAUAGAAUGCAGGGGCCAUUUCUGUCACUUGGGAAUACGUGUUUAGAUCCAUGUAGAUCCACCCAGUGUUACGAGUUCGUGAACAUCUGCCUUCUGACUAGAGUGAGCAGAGGUUUCCGAGAAAGGAUCCCAUCUUCAAUUGAGAGAUUUCCUCUCUGCCCACUUCACCCGACCCUGGCCCCCUUGACAGUAUCUGUUCUCAGUCUCCAUGGGCACCAGAAACUCUCCCACACGUUUCCAAAUGUCCGGGGUGGUAGGAUGGCACACACACUCCCCACCUCCUCCUCCUCCUCCCCCCCCGGGCCAGGCCGUGCUCACUGGUAGGGUUCAUUUGGAGGUUAGGCAUGAUCCACAAUGAUGUUCAUGAAAGGUAUUUCGAGACCAGAAAGCAUAUUCCUUGCUUUAUGUGUCUUUUGAGGUAGGUCUUCGAAAAGCAUUACAGAACAUUACUAAAUAAUUAACAUCUGUGUCCUGGUCCCCUCCUUCUGGUGGUAAAUCUUACGUGUUCUAUUUUUCUUGCAGAGCAUGCUUGAAAAGGGAGGAUAAAAGCAACUUUUAGAACAAGCAAAAUUCCCUCAACGUUAAUUCCAGAGGUGGAACAUUUUUUUUUUCCUAGUAAGAAAGUAACCCAUUUAAAGAGAAGACCGUUAAAGAGAAGCAUCAGAGAGCAGAUUCAUCAGAAGCAUAUCACAGUUUGAUCAGCAACAGUUUGAAAAGCCAAGGCCUCCGUCAGGGAUGAGCCAUCAAGGACGUGCUGCAGUGUUAAUAAACCUCAUUUAUGAUGAUUAAAAAGAAAGGUCGCCCUCUCCACCUUCUGUGCUUUCUAUUCAGCUUCCUCUCCUAACCAAGCCCCAUCAUUUGGUGACCCUUCCGUCCCACUAAGCUGGGGGUUGGCGUCGAGGGCUAAGGUCUUUGGAGUGGGGAAAACCUUCCAUUUCAGGCCAGCUGCACCAGGCGGAAUUGGCUAGGCUGGGGCAUGGUGGGGUGCUCUUUUUCUUUUUUCCUUUGACUAUGUAAGAGCUUCUUUAUUUUAACUCAUGGUGAUCAUGUAAGAAGACGAAAGGCAAGAAAAUGUACCUCUCUUACUGGAAUAAUGUUUCUGGUUAAACGUGAAAUAAGGCAUCUUUUUAUCAAUAUGAAGGCAACUUGGCUUCCCCCACCCUCUCCUCUGUCAUGAAUACUGACAUCUUCACCCACCAUCAAUAAUAAAUCUAUUUUCUGAUGAAGA
rnacentral:lncRNA from 1 species